rnacentral:tRNA from 1 species
GUUUCAGGUGGCGUGGUUCGUGCGGGACGCCCUCGAAGCGCCGGAGGACCGGUGGCGGGGCCUCAACUCGUGCAACACCGGCUUGACCCU